rnacentral:rRNA from 1 species
GGAGGGUGCAAGCGUUGUCCGGAUUUAUUGGGUUUAAAGGGUGCGUAGGCGGCUUUUUAAGUCAGUGGUGAAAUCCAGCAGCUUAACUGUUGAAUUGCCAUUGAUACUGGAGAGCUUGAGUACAGACGAGGUAGGCGGAAUUUAUGGUGUAGCGGUGAAAUGCAUAGAUACCAUAAAGAACACCGAUUGCGAAGGCAGCUUACUAGGCUGUAACUGACGCUGAGGCACGAAAGUGUGGGGAUCAAACAGGAUUAGAUACCCUGGUAGUCCACACUGUAAACGAUGAUUACUCGAUGUGUGCGAUAGACAGUACGCGUCCAAGCGAAAGCGUUAAGUAAUCCACCUGGGGAGUACGAUCGCAAGAUUG